ACGCACGCUGGCGGCGUGCUUCACACCUGCCAGUCGCACGGAAAGGCCCUGCUUUUGUGGGGUGCUCGAGUGGCGAACGGGUGAGUAACACGUGAGUAACCUGCCCUUGACUUUGGGAUAACUUCAGGAAACUGGGGCUAAUACCGGAUAGGAGCUCCUGCUGCAUGGUUGGGGUUGGAAAGUUUCGGCGGUUGGGGAUGGACUCGCGGCUUAUCAGCUUGUUGGUGGGGUAGUGGCUUACCAAGGCUUUGACGGGUAGCCGGCCUGAGAGGGUGACCGGCCACAUUGGGACUGAGAUACGGCCCAGACUCCUACGGGAGGCAGCAGUGGGGAAUAUUGCACAAUGGGCGGAAGCCUGAUGCAGCAACGCCGCGUGCGGGAUGACGGCCUUCGGGUUGUAAACCGCUUUCGCCUGUGACGAAGCGUGAGUGACGGUAAUGGGUAAAGAAGCACCGGCUAACUACGUG
rnacentral:rRNA from 1 species